rnacentral:misc_RNA from 1 species
UACUAGUCCGAAAGGGCGUGAGU